AUUGAACGCUGGCGGCAGGCCUAACACAUGCAAGUCGAACGGUAACAGGAAACAGCUUGCUGUUUCACUGACGAGUGGCGGACGGGUGAGUAAUGCCUGGGAAACUGCCUGAUGGAGGGGGAUAACUACUGGAAACGGUAGCUAAUACCGCAUAACGUCGCAAGACCAAAGAGGGGGACCUUCGGGCCUCUUGCCAUCGGAUGUGCCCAGAUGGGAUUAGCUAGUAGGUGGGGUAACGGCUCACCUAGGCGACGAUCCCUAGCUGGUCUGAGAGGAUGACCAGCCACACUGGAAAUGAGACACGGACCAGGCUCCUACGGGAGGCAGCAGUGGGGGAUAUUGCACAAUGGGCGCAAGCCUGAUGCAGCCAUGUCGCGUGUAUGAAGAAGGCCUUCGGGUUGUAAAGUACUUUCAGCGGGGAGGAAGGGAGUAAAGUUAAUACCUUUGCUCAUUGACGUUACCCGCAGAAGAAGCACCGGCUAACUCCGUGCCAGCAGCCGCGGUAA
rnacentral:rRNA from 1 species